GAAGAAAGACUAAACUAAAAGCAUUAUUUGAAGGAUGUUCUGAAUAUAUGAACACCAACUUCAAUAUUCCUUAUAUAUUGAACUUAAAAUUAACCAGUUUUGAAAGGGACUGAUUGGGUAGGGCUUCCCUCAUUCUUUGGAACGAAGCAUUCUUACUUCUUACAAAUCACAGUUUGAUAUAUGUACAAAAGUAAUUCAUCAAAAAAACAAAUAGAGAAAUCUCUACACGCAUGUCAAACUAUGAUUAGUAGGAAAAUAAGAAUUCUUACUUCCAGAAAAGGAGGCGAGUAUUUUUCUUCUAAAAAAUAUCGCUACCUACUUCUAUUCUUUUGGGGCUAUGUAACAUCAAGACAAGUUUUUCAAUUUAACAUUAUAAAAAAUAAAAAUAAAAACAGUAUAGUUUAUAGUUUGUUUGUUCUUCAUUUGGUGGGUGUGAAUGUGAUGGAUCAUGAAAACAAAACCUUAUAACUUGAAUUAAGUCUCCUCAUGGCUCAACCACUUCAACAGGGAUCGAUUAGCUAGUCCACUUCAACUAUACUAUGACAAAUGCCUAAUCAAAGACAAAAUCAACCCGUUAUUACUUUUAAAUGUGGGUUGCUUAAGCAUCCCAUUCUGAUUAAGGACCCCACUUUAACACACACUAAUUGCAUUGUUUAUGUUGUUAAAUUGUUGUUGUCCAUACUUUUUUUUAUAAAUAAUCUGCACAAGUUUAGCAAUCAUUGAGUUCUUCAUAGAUAAUGGAACAUGCUAUUCAUGCAUCGAAAUUUUGGGACCUCCCUCCCUUUUUUUCUCUGUUUUCCCUUAGAGUGGCCUAAACAAAUUUCAUACCAUCACAUUUAAACAAUUUUCAGUAUUAAUAAGUUUUAAGGUGAACAACCAACAAAAUGCCUAAUAAAUAUGAAUCUCAUUUUCAUUAACGACUGACAAUCAUCCAUACACAUGUGUGAUUGUCCUAACACACAGGAGCGGAGACACAUACAGACCUGCAGUGGCCGUGGUCCUCCAAAGCUCCUUAAAAAAGCCAAUAACUCUUAAACACCUGCUGCAAUAUCAGUUAAAAUAUAAAAUUAUAAAAACCUUAUAAUUACAAUAUUGACCCCCAAAAACAAACUACUAGCUCCACCACUGCUAACACAUCUGGCUAAAUAAAUCUUGAUGUGAAAUAAGACUAAGAGGUUGGUGGUGUCUUUACAUGCAGAAUGAGACCCAAAAUUUUAUAUAGCAAGAGUC
rnacentral:lncRNA from 1 species